rnacentral:tRNA from 1 species
GCCUUCGUAGCUCAGCGGAAGAGCACUUCACUACGGAUGAAGGGGCCGGGAGUUCGAAUCUCUCCGGGGGCAC